CGAGUCAUAGCCGUAGGGCUAUUUGUUAUUUACAUUAAUGAAUUAUUUGUGCGAUUCAAGUUGACUUGA
rnacentral:tRNA from 1 species